GAUGAACGCUGGCGGCGUGCCUAAUACAUGCAAGUCGAGCGAACGGACGAGAAGCUUGCUUCUCUGAUGUUAGCGGCGGACGGGUGAGUAACACGUGGAUAACCUACCUAUAAGACUGGGAUAACUUCGGGAAACCGGAGCUAAUACCGGAUGAUAUUUUGACCCGCAUGGUUCAAAAGUGAAAGACGGUCUUGCUGUCACUUAUAGAUGGAUCCGCGCUGCAUUAGCUAGUUGGUAAGGUAACGGCUUACCAAGGCAACGAUGCAUAGCCGACCUGAGAGGGAGAUCGCCCACACGGGAGCAGAGACACGGCCCAGACACCUACGGGAGGCAGCAGUAGGGAAUCUUCCGCAAUGGGGGAAAGCCUGACGGAGCAACACCGCGGAAGGGAUGAAGGUCUUCGGAUCGUAAAACUCUGUUAUUAGGGGAGAACAUAUGUGUAAGUAACUGUGCACAUCUUGACGGUACCUAAUCAGAAAGCCACGGCUAACUACGUG
rnacentral:rRNA from 1 species